rnacentral:tRNA from 1 species
GUUUCUAUAGUUUAAGAAAAAUAAUAAAUUGCAAAUUUAAAGAUAAGUAUAUUUAGAAAUU